UCUGAGGAAUAACAUCAUAAACCAAAAAAACUUCCACGUUACUGUUAAAUUUCCUUUGUGGUGUCUGUAGCAAUCCCUCAAAAGGGUUAGCUCUGAGUAUUUCUUAAUUUUGCAAGGAUAACACAGGAAACAAUUGCAACCGUGCUGGCUAAGAGGAGCCCCUUGACUUCAUGGGACUUUGGAUGGGAUCCCUGACAGUUUCUGGAGCUCCAGCGCCGGAGCGGUUCAGAGCAGGGGCUGGUACCCACAGCUCCAUCUGCGUUGUGCCUGGGGUGGGAGCGCUGUCCCCAGCACCGGUCUGCCAGCCCCACCGACUGCAACACCUUUAUAAGCAUUUGAUCUACCUCCACGGAAAGCUGCAGUUAUUCCAUAAAACCAGUCACUGAGAGGCAGUCCUGCAGAAGCUUCCAGCGUGUUGAUUUAGUGCUUAUGAAAUAGGGCUGUCGGGCCUCCCUGGAGACCAGGUUUUUCUUAAUCGGUGUAGAUACAGACACGGCUCUCGCUGGACGUACCCGACGUGUCCGCACCCCCCAGUGCCCAAGGACCUGGGCAGGCUCAGCCCAGCGGUGCUGCCGACAUCGAGGGGUUUGGAGAUGCCCUUUCACCUCUCCCAUCCGUGGGGACCUUUGGGAUCAACCCACUGUGGUUAGGUACAGCCUGACCUCCUGAAACACCCAUCUGGCUGCAGGGAGCCAGACGUUGCUUUUUUCAAAAUAAUAUUAAAAUUCAGCCUUUGUAGGAACCAAAUCUUUUUUUUCUUUUUCUCCUACUAUUGAUGGAAGUUUUCCAUUCCUUAAUUUCCUGAGAAAUUCCUGCAAAAUUCCCUGAGAAAUUUCAUACGGGAGAGGACAACCACUCCAGGUCAACUCAAAUACUUCAUCUCAGUAUCACGGCAAAUUUUCAUUCCCACUUCACCCCUCCCACACCACGACGCAAGAGCUGGAAGGUCGACGCAGCAGUUUAAUUUAAUCGGCAGAACAUUAAACCAUGUCACAUUAAUAUUAAAAAUAAAUGGUAUAGACCAGACAUCUGAAAAUCACGCAGGGGGAAGGAUUUUUUUUUUUUUUUCCCCUCUCGGUGUCUCUUUUAACUCUGCAAAGGCUGUCAGAGCCAGAGCAGUGGGUAACACAGAAAACGUCACUUUAAAUUGAGAGUUUAUCACUUCAGCUCUCCUUUCCCUCUCUUCCCUGGCCAGUUCGCAUCUGUCAGCACAACCCCAUCUCUCAUUAGCGACAAGGCAGGAGACGAGGCAGUGCUUGGGCGAUCUGACACUUCAGGCCCUGGUUUUUACAGAUUGCCUUUAGCAGCUGAACUUGUCAGACAUUUUGGGUAGAAAGAGCAGAAAUGAGUAAUGGAGGCAUCUGAUUAUAGCCAUAAAAUUCACCCAACCCCAAAAGGAUGCAGAGCUGCUCCAGAAACCCCAAGCUGAUAUUUUAAGGCGUUCGCAGACUCCGGGGCUGACGAGGUUGUUGCCAGCAGUAAUAAACUCCUGUGAUCCAAUCUCAGCGCACGCCCAGCCCCGGUUUUAUUUGGGCGAGGUGCAGAGGGCAGAAAUUCCCUUUGUUUAUUUUCACUCCCAACGACAGGGUCUGUGCGGAAACCCAACGAUUCAGGGCUGUUGUUAAAUCUUAAUUUUAUCGCCGUUCCCUCAGGGGACCGGCAUGAGUGCGGUUUUCUGCACUCCUCAGGGUUUCUUUGGGGGACAACGGUGUUUUGAGAUCCCUGGGUUGUCAUUGCAUAGCUAUGUUAGAUAAAGCACUUAAAACUCCGCCUUUGUCAACCAGAAGAAGCGGAGGUGGCCAGGAAAUACAGGGACGCCUUGCAAGCCGGUAUUGCAGCACUGCAGCAUCCGCUCCUCUGCCCCACGCAAGCCAGCUUGGUCUCCUCCUCGAGGUGCAGGGCUCGGAAAGCAGAGGCAUUUCUCAUUCCUGGCCUGUUUUACCUGAAUUUUACUUUUUACCUGAAUUUCGACAGCAGAGGAUAGCACUGACAAGAGUUUUGUGUUUUGCCGCGUUCCUGCAACAGGCAAAUGGGGAUGGUUUCAGGCUGGGGUUGAAGCAGUGGGAGAGAGGAUUUCUCCUCCCACGCUCAAAUCCCCUAAAACUGGGCAUUUAUGUCCUGGAAGUGUCUGACCCCAGGCACUCAUGAUACUUGCACAGACACAUAGAGGAACAUCACAGGGCCAAACGGGAGUGCGCUGGACUGGCACCAAACUCUGCUCUCCGUUUCUCCACCGAUUUAGCCGGCGAUGGCCGCAUUGCCAGCUGGAGGUCAGACAGACCACAUAAAAUGGAGACACCUGCUCACCUGCUUUGUAAAUGGAGAACAACACAAGGAGCUGUAAGACAAGGCUGACCAAGCCAGAAACCUCAUCCCCAACAGCCCGACUUGGUCAGCCUUGAUGACCCUGAGACAGCUAAACCUCCAUUUAAUCAUGAAACAUCGGAUCCCGCGUCCUUUCUCGGCCAUCACCAGCUCCAUCACCAUCCCAGCCAAGGUCAAACUGGCACGAGGAGUUUAAUGCUGAGACUGGGUAAAAGAUUUCUGUUUGCUGAGCUGACUGAGAGGCUGGGGAUGCUGGAUGGGGGAGAGUCAGGGCUGACAUGGAGCAGUGAAAAACUAAUGGCUUUUAGUGCUCCUCAUUUAUUUUUUCCAUUUAUCUUCUUUCAAGGAUUUUGUUUUCCUUUCUGCUUUAUUGUA